ensembl:lncRNA
CCAGUCUACACUCCCACCAGCAGUGGAGCAGGGUUCCUCUUUCCCCACAGCCCCGCCAGCAUUUGUUAUUGGUUGAUUUCAUGAUAGCAGUCAUUCUUUCUGGAGUGAAGUGGAAUCUCAGCGUUGUUUUCAUUUGCAUCUCUUGAAUGACCAGUGAUGUUGAACAUUUUUUCAUGUGUUUAUUUGCUGUUUCUACUUCUUUGUCUGAGAAAUGUCUGUUCAUUUCAGAUGCCCAUUUUCAGAUUGGGUCUUUAAAUUUGGGAGGUCUGAUCUUUUUAGGUUCUUUAUAGAUUUGAGAUAGUAGACCUUUAUCUGCGGAAGAGCAGGUGAAGAUUUUUUCCCACAUUGUGGGUUGUCUCUUCACACUGCUGGUGGUUUCUCUUGCUGUGCAGAAGCCUUUUAAUAAGAAGAGAUCCCACUUGUUGAUUGUUUGUGCUAGUUCAUGGGCAACUGAGGUUUUGUUCAUAAAAUCUUUUCCCACACCAAUGUCUUCAAGGGUUCUACCUAACCUAUGUUCCAACUGGUUCAGAGUUUCUAUUUUAAUAUUUAGAUCUUUAAUCCAUUUUGAUUUUAGUUUAGUGCAUGGCGAGAGAUAUAGGUCUAGUUUUAAUCUUUGGCAAGUUGAAAUUCAAUUUUUCCAGCACCAUUUAGUAAAGAGGCUAUCUUUCCUCCAGUGAGGGUGUUUGGCUCCUUUGUCGAAGAUGAGAUGGCUGAGUGUGUCUGGCAUUGUUUCUGCAUCUUCUAAUCUGUUCCACUGGUCCUCAAGUCUGUUCCUUUGUCAAUACCAUGUUGUUUUUAUCACAGUAGCUUUGUAGUAGAGUUGCAGGUUUAGGACUGUGAUACCCCCUGCCAUGUCUCUGUUACCUAGAAUUGCUUUUGCUAUUCUGGGUCUCUUCUUCUUCCAAAUGAAUUUUUGGAUUGUUUUCUCAAGGUACAUGAAGUAUGGUGCUGGGAUUUCAAUUGGGAUUGCAUUGAAUCUAUAUAGCAGUUUUGGAAGUAUGGCCAUUUUCACUAUGUUGAUUCUUCCUACUCAGGAGCAAGGGAUGCCUUUCCAUUUUCUGAUAUCAUCUUCAAUCUUUCUUUUCCAAGUGCUUUCAUUUUCAGAGAAGAGUUCUUUGAUUUCUUUCAUUAGGUUGAUUCCUAGGUAUUUCAGUUUUUGGAUGCUAUUAUGAUAGGAUUUGUUUGCCCUAUUUCUGUCUCAGUGAAUCUGUUGUUCAUGUAGAGGAAAGAUAUUGGUUUUUGUGUGUUGACCUUAUAUCCAGCUACUCUAUGGAAUUUGCUUAUUAAGUCUAGAAGACUUUUGGUGGCAUUCUUGGGGUCUUCUAUAUAGAGUGUCAUGUCAUCUGCAAAUAAUGACAAUUUGACUUCUUCAUUACCUAUCUUUAUUCCUUUUAUUUCUUUCUUUUGUCUAAUCGCCAUGGCUAAUGUUUCUAAAACUAAAUUGAACAGGAGUGGUGAUAGUGGACAUCCUUGUCAUUCCUGGUUUUAGUGUGAAGGAUUUCAGUUUUUGACCAUUUAGUAUGAUACUGGCUGUUGGUUUUUCAUAGAUGGAUUUCAUCAGGUUGAGGUAGAAACCAUCUAUUCUAAUUUUUUGUAGGGGUUUUUUUUUUAUCAUAAAUGCAUGUUGGAUUUUGUCAAAUGUUUUUUCUGUAGCUAUUGAGAUGAUCAUAUGAUUUUUGUUUUUAGCUCUAUGGAUAUAAUGUAUUACAAUGAUUGAUUUGCAUAUGUUGAACCAUCCCUGUAUCCCUGGGAAUAAUCCCACUGGGUCAGGGUGUAUGAUUUUCUUGAUGAUCUCCUGCAUUCUAUUUGCCAGUCUCUUAUGAAGGAUUUUUGCAUCUAUGUUCAUUAGUGAGAUUGACCUAUAGUUCUCUUUUUCAGUUGGGUCUUUCUCUGCUUUGGAGUUCAAGGUGAUACUUGCUUCUAGGAAUGAAUGUGGGAGGAUUUCUUCCCUUUCAAUUUCACAGAAGAGCUUAAAGAGUAGGGGCAAUAGUUCUUCUCUAAAUGUCUUGUAGAAUUCAGCAGUGAAGCCAUCAGGGCCUGGGCUUUUCUUCAUUGGUAAGUUUUUAAUUAUGUUUUCAAUUUCAUUGAUUGUUAUUGGAUUGUUUAAAAUUUUUAGGUGUUCUUUGUUCAACUUUGGUAAUUCAUAUAUAUCUAGCAAUCUGUCCAUUUCUUUUGUGUUUUUCGUCUUAUUGAUGUAAAGGUUCUCAAAGUAGGUACUGAUCCUCUGGAUUUCUGCUAGGUCCAUUUUAAUUUCACCCUUUUCAUUCCUAAUUGCAUGGAUUUGGGACUUUUCUUUCCUUUUUUUGAUAAGGUUGCCUAAGCGUUUUCUUCAUUCAUUUUUUGUAUUGUUCUUUGUCUUCAUUGCAUUGAUUGCUGCUCUGAUCUUUAUAAUUUCCUCCCUUGUAUGAGCUUUGGGCUUGUCCUGCUCUUCUUUUUCUAGAAGCUUGAGUAAGGUUCAGCAUCAGGUUGUUUCUUUGAGCUCGCUCUGUUUUCCUAAUAUGAGUAUUCACUGCUGUGAAUUUCCCUCAUAAGACUGCUUUCAUUGUGUCCAAUAGAUUCCGAUAUGUUGUAUUGACAUUGUUAUUUUAUUGAAGGAACUGUCUGAUUUCUUCUGUGAUCCAUUGGAUAUUCAGAAGUGUGUUGUUCAAUAUCCAUGUGUUUAUGAAAUUCUUGAAGUUUCUUUUGCUAUUGAUCUCCAGUUUCAUCGCACUAUGGUCUGAUAAUAUACAGGGGAUAACUUCAGUUCCUUUGCACUUACUUAAACAUGUUCUAUGAGCAAGUAUGUGGUCUAUUUUGGAAAACAGGGUAUUAAAGAUAAUGUACUUUCAGAUUCUCACAGGAUGCUGCUGUAUGUCAUGCAUUAACUAAGGGGACUCCCAUGGGGGAAGGGGAAGGUGACCACCUGGAAUCAUUCAACUUUGUACAAAUGGAGUCAGGCUGGCUAUCACAAUAAUCUCUGCUUGCCUGGGGAGCUUGGCCAUACUAGGUAUUCUAAUAGUAUAGCUUAGAGUAGGGGCUGGCCAUACUAUAAAGACCAGCAAUAAGCAUUUAAGAACUUGGGGCCAUCCUGGAGUGGCUGGAGACUGAAUCCAGCUGUGGGCAGCUGGGUGGGCCUGCACAGUGGACCUCAAGUGAGCACCCUGCUCUCCAUAGUUGGGUGAGCCACCACACUCUGCACUGUCACCCUCAAAUGCCAGAGUCCAUGGAUCCUGAAUUGCUGUAGACAGUAUCAUGAAAGCUCAGGUUUGAGUUCAAACCUGAAUGUGCCAUUAGGAGGUGGGCUCUGGUUGGAGGUAGGCCACCCUGGAAGAGUGUGUUCUUGGCCCUGGCUCCUCCCUUCUCUCUCUUUGCAUCUUGGCUGCCAUGGUAUGAACAACUUUCCUUCACCAUAUGUCAUUUCUGCCUUGGAACCUACCAACCAUAGACUGAAACCAUGAGCAAAAAAACCCCUUUCCUUAGAAGUGCAGGUGUAGGGUAUUUUGUCCCAGUGACAAAAAGGCUGACUAACAUGAUGAUCCAAAAAUCUGAAGAACUGCUAGUCUGGGGCUAACACCAUUAGGUCCACCUGGCAGGAAGCCCAUCAUUUCUACCUGUUCAGGUUUAACCCACAAGGUGAUUGAAGAUUGGAUUAUGGCCAGAGUAUACUUAGCUCAGGAUGCUUUCUACCCACUUAGAAGCUUUCUCUGCCUGGCAGGGGGGUAGAGAGAAGGAAGAUGGGAACAUAGUCCUGGGAUAGCAGCCAAAGGUGUGAAACCUUUUCCACCGAGCUGACAGGCAAAUAGGUAAGUAAUUGGCUUAUACAAGCAAGUCAGGAAGUUCAACAUCGGAAUUGUGGCCCAGACAGCAUGACCACCAUCUGCUGUAGAAUUCACACUUUCCCAGGCCUCUUUAUUCUAAGUUGGGUCUUGAACUGACCAGAUGAGGCUGGCCCACAUUAUGGAUAGUAAUCUGCUUCACACCAAGUCCAGGAAUUCAAAAGUUAAUUUCAGCUGGGGAUUUAGCUCAGUGGUUCUGAGUUUGAUCCCCAGGGCCAAAAAAAAAAAAGUUAAUAUCCAAAAACAACCACUCAGAACACCCAAAACAAUGUUUGACCAAAUGUCUGGGCAGCCCAUGACCCAUGCGAACUGACAUAAUUAUAUCAGCCACGACAGAUGUCAUGCCAUACUGGACCGAUCUUGUUUCUGUUCUUAGUGUGUGGCCCAUGGAGAGGGUCAGUAAAUAUUUGCUUGAGAAAAGUAAUGAGUUGAAUCAUAUGUACAUAUACAUAGAUAGAGUCAAUGUCAAACUGCCAUAAGUUUGAGACACACAACAUUUUUAAUAGUUUUAAAUUAACAUUAAAUCAACAGUUUAUUCCCUUAGACAUGUUUACCUCUUGUCUUUCUCUUCCUAAUUUGUACUGUAAUACAAUUUUGUAUAACAACUAGGCUAGCUUAGUCCAAGGAAAUUACUUGAGUCCUCAAGUUCAAGGCCAGUCUGGGCCACACUGUGAGUCCCCAUCUCAAAAGAAAAAUUAGGAAUUUGGAACAAAUGAUCUAAAUUUGAGUAUUACCAUGCUUGGCUUAUUUCUAGAAUAUUUGAGCCAGAGGGACCUUGUGUUGAGUGGACCUCCACAUGCUAAGUGGGCCUUCAGGUUCUCUGAUAACCACAAACAGCCCCAGCCAACCCCAUCAGCCUAAGGGGCCCCAAAAGAAGGUUGUGUCCAGAGAGCACUGGGUUUGGCUUCCUAACUAUACUUCUGAGAGUUGAUUCAGCCUUUCCCAGGGCUGAGGCUGCCAUCAUGAGGCCUGUUAGCCUUUGUCCUGACCUGCUGUGUCUGUGCAGCUCUUGGUCAGCUCAUAUGAGCAGGUACUCUACACCUCUGGGCUCAAAUCCCCACAAGGAAAGGAUCCAGAGAGUCCCUCUUUGUUAUGGUUUGGGUCAAGAUGUACCCCUAAAGCCUCAUGCAGUCAUAGGUGGCUUUUUCAGAGGUGGCUGGAUCUAGAGUGUGUGAUGCUGGUACUAAGGGUGUGUGAUUACUAAAUCCGUCCUUUGAUUGGUUUGGCACAGCCCUAAUCCCAGUAGUUCAGAUAAGAUAAACGAGCAACACCAAAAGCUAGAGCUCUACGUGGAGUCACUUGCCUCCAGGCAUGUCCUCCAAGGGACACUCUAAUUCUGGGCAAAUGUGUCCCAAGGUAAGAGCAGAGGUCAGCAAGGCACCACGGGGAAGUUCCUCAGCUUCCCAGCAGAUACCCAUGUUUCAGGCUGAGCCCCAGCACAGGGCUCAGAGCAGACAGCGGCAGCAAGGAAGCAUGUGGGGACAUUGAGCUUUGCUCCCUCAACUUCCAAUGAGAACAGGAAGAUCUGACCUCCACAGAACCCUGUGAGAUGGUGCAGGAGACAGGCUGGAUACAUGGUGGAGAAGACAGGUCCUGGGGGAACUUGUCUAAAGGAGAAAGGAGAUGUGCACAAAGAGGUGGCCUUUGUAGCCCCCCGAUUCAAGAUAAGACAUCUCUGUGGCAUGAAAAACAUCAUGUCCAAAAGAACUGCUGAUUUUCCUAACAGAACACUUGGGAGAUAAGACAAGGGGCUGGCCAGCCCCCUGGAUGAAUCUUCAGAUAUGGGGCUGUUUUCCUGGGGCCCCAGCUCUUCUCUUUUCUUUCUUCUUGGUUGUUGAGGAAGGGAGAAGUUUCUGUAGGAAAAAACAAACAGUAUUUAAAAAUUCAGUGGGAAAGCAUUUAAACUGUUACUCUUAGUUGCUCUUAAGGCUGGGUGUGGGGCAACUCUCAGUUGGAAUGGCUCUGAUUUAAAUGAACACAAAGUUGUCACUCCCUUGAAUAGGGCUGGUAACAAUAUUAACACCAACAAAAAACAAUAGCAUUUACUACUGGCUGAGACAUCUCUAUCCUUUGAAUGCCUUUUAGGCACAUCAGCAGAUCAGGAGAUGAAUGCUGAGGGAAGCCAGGUAGCCUGGCUGAGCUUGUGAGGUCUGUGUGCUCUCAGCUUACACUGCCCACCCUCCCACCCUCCUGGGUCCAGGUCAGUGGCUCUAGAGCCUGGCUUCUUGCCUUCUUUUGGAGUCGGCUAUACAGAGUCUUUGAUGGAUAAUCCAGUCCCAGGGAGAUGAGGUAACCACCUACUCCAUGAGGCACCUUCUGGUGCAGCCUGUGAACCAACCUGACUGUGGGCACAGUCUUGACACAAAGGUUAAACCUUGGAAACACAAAAGAAAAUGAAGCUGAGGCUAGGGACUUAGCUCAGUGGUUCUGCCACCUGCUUCAAAAGUGCAAGGUCCCGAGUUUGAUCCCUGGUAUCCCCCAAAAGAAAGAAAAUGAAGCUGGUCAUAGCAUGGAAAAUGUAGAGGUGCAGGGAACCCUCUUUGGCCUGAGGGAUGGUGACCCAAGGGCCCGUGGUGAGAGCUCCAGGAGGAGCCUGAUUCAGGUCUGAACAAGGAGCUGUUGGCUGCCAAAGUGGCCUCAUCCUUCCCUGCCUUGUGCUACAGCCUAGGAGCGGGACAGUGAAUGUGGAGACUGUCCUCAGAUGAGCUUCUCUGUUUCUCUGGCACAUGAGUCAGAUGAAGAGCUCCUUUCUCUACCCCAGGCUUUUCCCAUUAGUGUACAUAGUAAUUUAUCCACAUUGUUAAUAUUUUGACUUCUGAGAUGUUAGGUGCUAGAUGUGUGUGCAAAAUGUGUAAUAGGAAUGUGUCAAAUGCAUGUAUAUGUUGGACCAUGUUAUGGGCCUACCUUGAACCAGUGUAGUAGUUUAGUUAGGUGGGAUGUGAAUAGAGAGUCAAGGACUCUUCCCUCCAGGAAACUAAAUUAAUCCAUAGUUUUAACAGCUCCUCUCUGUCUUAGACAUAGAUUUCAAACCUGGCCUGGAGAGAGAAAGAAAUGCAAGAUAACCAGUUUUCUUUUGAACUCCUCUCUUUGAAGCACCCCGCCACACACACAAAGCUAGGGCAAAUAAUGUAUGUUGGACUUCUUUCCUUUCUUGGUAUCCACUAAGAGCUUUUCAGUUAUUAUUGUCAAUAAACUCUCUCCUACAUUUCCUCUUUUAUCUUCAAAUUUAUUAAUUUUGGGAACAGAGAACCCAGGUUUAUACAAAAUGAGCUGUGUCACUGGGCCAGUGUGACACAGAGUCAACAGCCACAAGUGAUGGCUCCAAGCACUCCAUGAGGACUUUCUCGAUGUUACCUGUGGGAUAGUGGGG